rnacentral:lncRNA from 1 species
UUGAGAAAAACAUAAAAAAAUAAAGAAAAGAAAAUGCUGGUUGGGAGAUUAAGUUAUGGCCUUUGGUAAUCUUGUACAGAAUUGUCUAUAUAGAUAUGUAUGUAUAUUUCUGUCUGUGUGUGUGUGUGUGCAGGCCUUAACCAUUAACAGGGUUAACCUUACAUUAAAAUUUUGCAGACAUCCAUAAUUUAAAAUAUAAGUCUUGAGAAUCAUUACCACCCAUCUUAUAGGUCACUCUAGAAAAAAAAAAAAAACUUAACCUAUAAAUCUUGUAAUCCUUUAACCAUCUGUUUACCUAUUUUCACUGUUUUUGUUCUAUCUGACGCUCUGUAAUUGUCUGUUUUUUUUUACACCAUUUUACAUGACCAAAAGCUUACCAAUAUGGCUGAAGACAUCAAAAAUGAAAUUGAAAGGAUCAACGCUCAAAGUUUUGGAAUCUAUCCAUAGUAACUAUCAGUUUACGUAAGCCUUAGCGGAAGCCUACCCCUUUUGGUUAAAGUUUCAAAAUACCAAAGAAUGACCCUUAUUUCUUACAGCAGAACUAUAGAGAAAAGAAAUAUAUCAAGACCCAUCAGUUACUUCUCUCAUAUAACAUUCAGAACAAAACUAUGGGGCAAGUGUAAAUGAAUACUUAUAUCUUCUGAUUAUUGUUUCUUUUGAGAUGUCUCUAAUUUAAUGCUGAACCUUGAUACACAGCACCCUAAGUGCAGCCUCAUUAAAAUUGUUCUUAUAGAUGUGGGGAAGUCAUUGAUGUAUUAAGGUUUCUCUUUUUUGUAUUUUUCCUUUUUGUUUUUCAUCACGAUUUGUUUAGAUGUCUGAUGUUAUUACUUCAAUAGGUAUGGCUACAAGGAUGUUAGGAAGGAAAGUCACCAGACAUUUGAACAGUUAUUAAUUGAAAGCCUUGAGAAAUUUAUUCGUCGGGAAGCUCAGGAGCGGUCAUUGGAGAGUGAUGGGGAUGAUGGGGAUACAGAUUCAGAAGAUGAGUCCUCUUGCUCAAGAGUUCUUAUAGCUCCCAAUGGAAGUGUUUACUCACUAGGUGUUCCUCUCCUGGCUGAGCACAAGGAGUCGAGUAAGCCAAUCUCAGAAGCUAGCACAUCUGAUGAGGUGAGGUCAGUGCCUCCUACAGAUCCAGAAAUUUCUGAUGCUGAGCAGAGUAUUGAGAGGGAACUGUCUUUUAUUCGCAAGGCAAAAGAAUCUGGGGUUGUCUACCUUCUUGGCCAUGGGGAUAUUAGGGCCAGAAAAGAUUCCUGGUUUAUCAAGAAGUUAAUCAUAAAUUACUUUUAUGCCUUCUUGAGAAAAAAUUGCAGGAGGGGGAUUGCAAAUUUGAGUGUACCUCAUUCACAUCUAAUGCAGGUUGGCAUGACAUAUAUGGUUUGAGGAUUGGUUUUGUGGAUCAAAAUAAGGCAAACUUAACUUUCACAACAGAGUUGAAACACAAGCAAUUGGAGUUAUGAAAUGCCUUGAUGUUGCACGCCUUUCCCAUCAACAGAGGUUACAUUAUCACCUGCUUCUGGGAUUUUAGUGCCGUCAUUGGUUCUUGGCUGUUUGGCUCCAUCAAUCCUCGAAGCAUUUUGCAUGAAGUUCUGACUCCUUGGGUGUUCCAAUUUUUGCUGAUGUGCAUUCGGAAGUGUUCUGUAAUUACCAUGUUAAAGUAUGAGAAUGCAUAGUUCCACUCAAAAAUCAUCAUGUUGAAUUGGCAUUCAUAUACAAAAUUCUCUCUCUCUCUCAUUUUUUCAUCUCCACCGUCUAGUAUCUAGAUAAUAUUGUGUAUAACACAACCGGUACGAACACAACCAGCUCAACCCUCAAACUAGAGUUUUUCUGGUACGAACACAACCAGCUCAACCCUCAAACUAGAGUUUUUCUGGUAUGAACACAACCGGACAGAAUUCAGUCUGUUUAUUUGUUUUUCGAGUUUGAGGGCCUUAACGAUCACUAAAUUGGCUGAAAUUUUGUAGAGAUGAUCUACACAAUAAUAUCUAGAUACUAGACGGUGGAGACAAGGAAAUUCGAUCGAAAANNNNNNNNNNNNNNNNNNNNNNNNNNNNNNNNNNNNNNNNNNNNNNNNNNNNNNNNNNNNNNNNNNNNNNNNNNNNNNNNNNNNNNNNNNNNNNNNNNNNNNNNNNNNNNNNNNNNNNNNNNNNNNNNNNNNNNNNNNNNNNNNNNNNNNNNNNNNNNNNNNNNNNNNNNNNNNNNNNNNNNNNNNNNNNNNNNNNNNNNNNNNNNNNNNNNNNNNNNNNNNNNNNNNNNNNNNNNNNNNNNNNNNNNNNNNNNNNNNNNNNNNNNNNNNNNNNNNNNNNNNNNNNNNNNNNNNNNNNNNNNNNNNNNNNNNNNNNNNNNNNNNNNNNNNNNNNNNNNNNNNNNNNNNNNNNNNNNNNNNNNNNNNNNNNNNNNNNNNNNNNNNNNNNNNNNNNNNNNNNNNNNNNNNNNNNNNNNNNNNNNNNNNNNNNNNNNNNNNNNNNNNNNNNNNNNNNNNNNNNNNNNNNNNNNNNNNNNNNNNNNNNNNNNNNNNNNNNNNNNNNNNNNNNNNNNNNNNNNNNNNNNNNNCAUAUCACCUAAAACUUCAAACAAAGUCAAUCUGGCCGAAAAACUGGAAUUCGGCGGACUCGCCGGGGAUGGAAAGAGAUCGGGGAAGCUGCUGGAGUCCGCUGGGGUGGAGGCGCGCCCUCGCCGGCGCCGUACGGUGGUGAACGGAGGAAAAUCUGCACCAUAAAACGGUGCGGACAUCCGCACCUGAGAAUCUCUGUGUGUGUGUGUGUAUAUAUAUAUAUAUAUACCUGAGAAUCUCUAUAUAUAGGAUAUGCAACACUUUGCAAAUAGAUAUAUAUGCAACACUAUACCUGAGAAUCUCUAUAUAUAGGAUAUGAUUAACUUCUUUGCAAAUUUGUACAGUUUGACACAUCGUUCUGCAACACUUUGCAAAUUUAAAAGAAUAGAAAAUUAGAAAAUUACAAAGAAGUGGAUAGAAUAGAACUACCGUCAAACUUAGUAAUAAACUAAUAAAGGGAAAGAAGACGGCCGAAUAAAAUGCAGAAUAGUUUACCUCCAACAUAAGCUUAGUAAAUUCUUUGAGCUUUGCUAUAUAAUUGCAAAAACAUUUUACAUAUAUCAUCAUGACACAUGCGUAAAGCAAUGAAUGUCAAGUCCAUAAGCACUUUACACAUCCUACCGAGCAUCACUUCGACUUCUAACACGGAAAGUUCUGGUAUGCAGCCUGCUUUCCAGAGGCAACUUCUCAAUAUCAGCCCCCAUGCAAAGCACAUGCAAUCCACCCUCCACCCUCUAUUAAUGUAUGUAUGCUAUGCCGUGCUGCACAGCAGACAUACCUAGUAAAGAAUACUAUCGAGUAGCCUACAUUGACAAACAGUCACUCGCUUUAGAUUACUGAGGAAUAUAUUUGAAUAAAUAUAACUUCCUUUAGCCUGCAUGAGAAAACUUUUGGACGCAAUCAUGAAAUUGAGUCCUCACCACCAGAACUUUCAUUCAUAGAUCCGCUUUCUCUUCAGAAGAGUUGGAAAUAUAAUCACUGAACCAAUAAGGAACAGCACAAAUAAUGUUUUAAAAUCGUAGAGGUCCUUGACUGACUUGAGAUCCCCAAGAGCAAGGCCAGCCUGAAAAAUAACCAAAAUGAGCAGUUAUCAGUUUAUUAAAGUCAAAGUUCUUUGAGAGUUUAUUGAAAUCAAAUUGAUGCACAGAAACAUGUCAUGCAUUCAGUAGUUAAACCCACUUGUCUUUUGGAGUCAACUAUCAAACGCAUAUGAAGAUAUUAAGAACUAUCAACAGAUCAGUGUAGAAUUCGGCAAGUCGGCCCCAAAAUAUAUCAGUAGUAGUUUCUGUUAAAGUUCCCCUUUCAAAUAGACUAGUUUUUUUUUUCUUUUUUUCAGGUUGAAAACCAAGAGCUUCAGAAUGAAUCCGUGAUAAUCGCAACAAAUUACAAGUAUCAAGUUCAAGACAAUUCAUGAGUUAACUGCCAGUCUUUCUCAAAUAAAUAGAUCACACUUGGCAAACAAUUCUACAUAACUAGAGUAUGGAUAUGCAUAAUAACAGCAGCCUUACUGACAAUAAGAAGGAUAAACAGAUUUGCGAUUCAUCAUAAAUUCUAACAACUACUUGACAACAUUACUUCCAUUAUGAUUCAUACAAUUGAAAAUGGGAGAAAUUGAACUAAAAAAAGAAAGUCUUGAACUUCAGAAUGACCUUCUACUACCCUCUAUAUUUAUGUACUCAAUGGAAACCACAUAACCAUCUGCAAGAACACUUCCUUAGUGGAGGGUUCAUCAAACUAUAUGCUUGUGUUAUGUCCAGGAGUUAAGUAUUUGGAACAAAAUUAACUAUUUUCGUAUCUGGAUGGGUCAUACUGAUGCAGGCCCUUAGUAGGAUUGGGACUGGAAGUAACUAGGUAUAGCUAACAGGGUUGAACACUGAACCCUUAGAGCUGAAAAGACUAGAUUUUUGAUAAACUUAUGUUUUUGAAUUUCCAGAACUGAGACUUACAUUAGCUACAACUCCUUUAAAUAACCCAGACUCAACUAUCUGCUCAACUACCCAUAAUAAAUGCACUAAGACUAUACAAAACACAAGAAUAAUGACAGAUAAAAGAUAAAGACAAUAAAACAAGACACUUAAUGAAACACUGGGCUCUAGGAGAAUUCUUAAGUUUCUCCAUAGUAAUUACUGACUGCUUCAUUCUCCCCGGGUUGCAAAAAACUCGUCCUCGAGUUUGUAAGGACUGAGGUGCUAGACAUUGAUGACAUCUGAAGUCCUUACAUGGCUCGGAUGUUGUAGCUGAUAAGCAUUAUCUUUAUCUUCUUGAGAAUUUUGCAGGGACCAACUUUAUGGUCUUUGAGCUCCGGUGGGAAACCUGUCCUUUGUCAAAACUGCCCACACCACAUCCUUUUCUUCAAACUCUACCCUUCUUCGGUGUUGAUCCGCUGCAGCCUUAUACAUUAGAUUGUUCUCUUCAAUCCUCUUCCUCACUUCUUCAUGGAUGGACUUGAUGUAGUCAGCCAUUUCAUCUGCUCUCUUGCUCAGUUUGUUUGGAUUUGGAAGAGAGGUCAAGUCUAGAACACCAUUUGGAUUCAUUCUAUAGGCUGCUUUAUGUGGAAGGCUAGCACCGGGUAUAAGAUCAAUCUGGUGUUGAAUGUCUCUCAAUGGCAGCAACCCUGGUGGAAGAUCUUCUGGUAAGACACCUGUUAUUUCUUCAAUUAGAUGAAAUAGGGAUGCCUUCCUUUGCAAUCAAAGCAAAGCAUACUCCAGCUUCUCCAACUUCUUGAAGGGAGUUGGUGACUGAAAGGAAAUUGUCUCUCUUCGCUGCUGCCUUUUGUUUUGGAAGCCCAUCAUCCUUCAUUGGUGCUAAAACUAUCCUUAUCCUUCCAAAAAAGUAUACGUAUUCUUUUCACCGUCGUGAAUAGCACCUCUAUCAUACUGCCACGGGGUCUUUCCAGACGAACAUGACAAGCAUCCAUUUUAACUACAUCACACCAAACCUCAUCCACGUACUUAUUUACAAUGGAGAAUAAUAUAAGGCAGCGAGUAACAACGAUUACCUCAUUACCCUUCUUGAACCAUGAGAGCUUGUAAGGUUUUGGAUGCUUCACUUGCUUCAACUGGAGCUUCUUUACUACAUCAGUUGAAACAACAUUCUCGCAGCUACCUCCAUCAAUUAUCAAUUUACAGACCUUGCCUCCAAUGGUGCAUGUGGUAUGAAAUAUAUUUCGCCGCAACCAAUCUUCCUCAAUUUCUUCUUCAGGCAUUAGUAGACUCUUACAAAUAACUCAAGCCUCACCAAUGUCUCCAUACACCAGGCCUUCACUGCAUUCCUCCUCCAUUUCUUCAUCAAAGAUGGGAUCUCCGAUGUCAUCAUGGAUUUCCUCUCCUUCAAUCAUGAGCUGCUUAUUUUUAUCCAGACGGCUACUACUCAACACUCGUCUGCAGUCAGAGGACUUGUGAUUUGGUUCUCCACACUUGAAACAACGAAGCUUCUUGGAUGCAUUGCCUUGACCUUGCUUUACUGGUCCUGAAGUAUUCGAGCGGUUUCCAGCUGCUGCAAAUGAACUUUGAGUCCCUAAUUGACAACCCUUUGCUGAUUCUUGACCACUGAAUGGUGCUGAGAGACCUCCAAUAUACCUCGCAACCAGCUGUUCUUCAUCCUCAUUUAGGUCAUUUCUGGCCACCAACAUAUAGAACUCAGUGUAUUUUUCCACAGUUUGCUCUCCUUGCCUCAGAUUUUGUAAACGCUGGUAGAGAGUACGAACAUAGUUAAAUGGAAGGAAAUUCUCCCUGAGCUUUUUCUUCAUCUUCUCCCAGCUCCUGAUCUUCUCCUUUCCUCGUCUCUCACGUUUCAUCUUCAGCUGCUCCCACCAAGCAGAGGCACAUCCCAUUAAUUUGACCGCCACCAACUUGACUUUCUUGUCAUCUGGCACGUCCUUGAGAUCGAAUAUCCUCUCAAUAGUAUUCAGCCAGUCAAUGAACUCUUCAGCUUGUAAGUUACCAUGAAAUUCUGGUAUCUCAAGCUUGAAGUUCAUCUCCCAACUUCGAUCAUCCCGAAUAGGUGGCUCCUGACGCGGAGCGCGACCAUGAAACGGGUUCUCAGAGCUUCUGAGUCGUCACUUCCUUCAGCAGAUCUUGAGGCCUCCAACUCAGUUAACCUUUGAGUUAGAAACUCAACUUGUCUCCUGAGUUGCUCAAUCUCAGAGGUUGGCUGCCUACCGCGCCCUCUCCCAGCCAUGGGGCUCUGAUACCAGCUGAUGCAGGCCCUUAGUAGGAUCGGGACUGGAAGUAACUAGGGAUAGCUAAAAGGGUUGAACACUGAACCCUUAGAGCUGAAAAGACUAGGUUUUUGAUAUAAACUUAUGUUUUUGAAUUUCCAGAACUGAGACUUACAUUAGCUACAGCUCCUUUAAAUAAUCCAGACUCAACUAUCUGCUCAACUAUCCAUAACAAAUGCACUAAGACUCCAUAACCCUCUAGCUAAAGACUACACAAAACACAAGAAUAAUGACAGAUAAAAAGAUAAAGACAAUAAAACAAGACACUUAAUGAAACACUGGGCUCUAGGAGAAUUCUUAAAUUUCUCCAUAGUAAUUACUGACUGCUUCACAUACAGAAUAUAAUCAAAUAAAAAUGUACUUUAUAUUGGAUUUUUUAAGGAUUUAUACUAUGUUAAUGACAAUUUUUUUUACUAAUAUGAUAUGACAUUCUUAGAUAUUUAAUCUAGCCUAAUGUUAUUAGGAACUACCUAUCCUAGUUGUUCUAGAAUUAAUUCUCAGUCAACAGAGGCAUUGUAAUAGUUGUAGAAAAAAGUUGAGGAAAAAAGUUUUCCAAUGCUUGAAUCUGGUAUAUGUCUCCUCUAGUUGUUCUAGCUGUCUCCGUAGUCUAUCUAUUUUUCAAACUUAUUCUUCUGUUUAUUCUCCAACAACUUUUCCUAUCAUUUAUUUCAUAAGGCCUGAUAUUACUACCAAGUGGGCGUAUAUCAAACAAUUCAAACCAGUUGAAGCGAGGGAACUCUAGUAGGCAAAUAGUGCAAAGGGAGAACAAAACUAGAAGCUAACUAUAAUCCUUUAGUCAACGACGAUGAGUGAUAAAUAUUGGCUCAGUACCCUGACCAUAGGUGCUGGCUACAGGAACUUGCUAGCUAUUGGCUGGAUAAAUUCUUACUAGGCUUUGAUUAUAUCUGCCUUAGAAGUAAUGGGAUGAUGUGAAGGAACUCCAGUAGAUGUUGGAAACAGACGAUAAGCGUAAACUUUUUUCUAGAAUUGCUGGUAACCGCGAUAGGUGGUAAAUAGAGGCUCAGUGCCUCAAUCUGCCCCAGCUGGCUACAGGUUGCCUCAGUUGGCUGCUGGAGUGCUAGCUGAAGACCAAAAAAUUUGAAACACGCUAGGCGACUUGACUAUUUUCAUAUCACAUUUCAGAAACAACUACAGAGUAAAGAGUCAGACGGAAAACAUCAAGUAUACCCGAAAUAAUUAUGGUAUAUUGAUAUAUUGGGAAACCCAGUAAUAUACUGUUGGUGCAUGCAUAAUGAAUAAGAAUACCCUGGGCAGACCAGGGGGGGCUGAUGAAAAGGAGUAAAAUGGCAAAGUAGUCUACUCAUCUAAAGCUGAUUAGAGAUAUAGCCGAGAAAAAUGUUGCUCCUAAAAGGAUUGGGUUUUAAGUACCCCGUUUUGUUUUCUCUUAAAAUUUCCUGGUCACAGAUUUUGUCUUGCAGAAAGUUGAGAUAUUGGUGAAUGACACCAGACUUUAGCAUAUAAUUUCAUCUGAACAAAGAUGAUGAUUUUCAUUAUAAUAGAUGGCUCUAUAACAAAAUAUUUCAAAUUGUUCCAUGAUCACAUUACUGUAACCACCAUUAGUUACCAAGGUAAGGAGCCAUUGCAUAGCGUCAGAACUGGUUAUAAUAGAUUUCAGGUGAGGUUAAACGGUAAUAGAACAACAUGAUUAUAUCCAUAUUUAUUUCCUCACUACAAUUACCAACCCCUAGUGUUUAGGGUUUAGGGGGUUACCCAAGAAUAAAAGCCACAAAGAGAAAAUAGAAACAUGUACAGAAGACAUAAUCUGUAAAACAGAAGCAUUUCCUUAAAGAUAAUUCUCAAUAAGCUAUCUUAUAUUUUGGGGUCUUUCAAUUAAAUAUCUUUUAAUACAUGAGCAGUGAAGUAGUGUACUCAGAGAUCCGAAUUAUAGAUGAUCAUGAUCCAAAACAAUAGGCAUGCAAAAGAAUUCAUCACCAUCAGUUCUUUCCGACUGUACAUUUAGCUAGUCAUAAUGGGAUUGAAGAAACCAUUCGAUUGACCAAAAUCGCAAUAACUAUCUUACGAAAAGAAACCAUUCGAUUGACCAAAAUCGCAAUAACUAUCUUACGAAAAUGGCUCGACUCAAUCAUUGAAAGGUUGAGGACAAGAUUAGAAUAUUAACACCGUUGGUGAUGAGUAUGGGCUUGGCGGACUACUAAAUAGUGAGCACUCACUGAUGACACAAGUAAUAUUUUACCAUUUGUACUUUGAAAGACUCCAAAAAGCAGUACAAAAAAACAAUGAAGAUCACUGUCAGAGACUUCAUGAGCAUUGAAUAUCAAAUACAGACACCAAAGAACAAUCAAAGUAGGGAGACAAAGAAACACAAGAAAAUAACUAAACUUGUCGAUUGGCAAGAAGGACUUACUCUGACUGUGAUAUAAGAUGCCGGAAUAAGACCAACCAAAGUUGCAACGAAGAAAAUGUGAAAGGGUAUGUCAACAAUGGGAGAUGCCAAGUUGAUGAAAAGGUUUGGCAAUGUUGGAGUUAUCCUCAGAAACAGCAUAUAGUUCAGCAGCUUCUCCUUCCGCUUUGCAAUCUGGACACACAUAAACGAAUGUCAAAUUUUUGGUUGAUUCAAAACCAAGUAGCAAGAAAUAGAUAGAUAGAUAGAUAGAUUACCUCUGCCUGAAAGAACCUCAGUUUUUCGGGCCACAACCAACUAACUAAGGGCCUGCCAAUUAACUUGGACAAAAAGAAGCAGGAAGAAGCUCCGGCAGUGGCGUUGAAGACAACUAACAUAAGGCCUCUGACAACACCGAAAAGAGCUCCGGCAAGCAAUGACAUGAAGAUGGUUCCGGGAAUCAUGAAAGUCUGCAUGAAGAUGUACGUAGAACAGUAACCCAGAAUGAAUUGAGCUGGAUAAUCCUUAGCAUAAGUCCCGAGAUGAUCUCUGGAAAACAACCACAAAAUCGGACGUGAGUGAGUUUGGGAAUUGAAUUGGGAAUUGGGAAAUGGAAAUGAGGGAUAAUAAGUACUUGAGCAAGCGAAGAUCAGCAAUGGUGCGAGGAAGCUUGAGUUUGCCGUAAUCGGCGGGGGGCAUGGUCAAGUAGACACAGAAGAGGCCAGCGGAGAAUAUAAAGAAUACGGAGAGAGCGGCGGCAACCUCCCAGCGCGUGAGGGGCAGUCUCUCUGAAGACUUUGGCUUCUUGCCGGUGGACCAAUCCUCCUCCUCCUCCACAACCACCUUGGCAUUCUCCUCGUCCCUCACCACCAGAUUCCUCGGAGCCGCCAUCAUUACAAACACGCCACUUUACUGACAAGAUUACGAUUCAUAAAUGCGGUAUCGAUGUCAACCAACAACCCAGAUCCAAUUGGUUUCCAGAUAUGUCAAGUAAGCAGAGGCCGAUGAUAUUUUUUUCCUUUAGUUUUUUCGUUAUAAUCUAAAAAAGAAAAAGGAGUAAUUUUAAAUACACAUCUAAAAUCUCUUUAAUACAUAUUUUUAUUAAUUUAUGUUUCAUAUUAAAUAUUUUAAGUAUGUUUAAUGAUCAAAAUAUACAUCUAUUAAUUAAAAAAAAAUCUGAUCAAGUAUAAAAUCUAGAGACAAAAGAUAGCAAGAGAAUCAUUAUCUUAUUCAUUAAUAGGAGUCUUUUAUAUAGGGAAUUACAAAGUACCAAUAUGGUAAUGAUAAGGAAUGCAUAGUCCUAUUUCAACUACAUAUCUUGAAGGCAUGAGGCCAAGACACACAUAUGGUAUAUUCUAGAAUAUUCCCUCUUGUACCGCGUGUCUAUAUGCUGAAAGGUGCACACGGUUUUGCCUCGUCAAAACCUUGCCAAGUAACAAAACCCUGUGAGAAAAACUAAACCUUGGUCGAAUGAGAAAACAGUACAACGCAUCAACUACUUCAUUGAGAACUCGAUCAUGUGAUGCUCUCUUGAUAAGUAUCUUAAUCGGAGAGACUUGAUAAACGCCAUAUUCUAAUGUUUUUCACAUGUUUCUCAAAAAUAGAUUUAGACCAAGACUUAAGCAAGUCUGCCAUAUGUAAUGAUUAACCUUAACUAAACACAUUUAUGAACAACUUUAUGUUGAUCAAUGAUCUCUGCAAGAGACAAACGGUGCAUGCAAUGUUGCCUCGUGAAAACCUUGCCAAGCAAAAACCCAGUGGGACAAAAGUCUUGGUCUAAGGGAAAAAGAGCACAACAAGGUUGAUACAACACAGCCGCACCCUUCACAUUUGAUAAUGACAUGUACAUGCUAGACUCCCCCUGAAAUCUGCAUCUCCCUUGAUCUUUACAUCAAUAUAGGGCUCUUCCUGAUUCUUACUAAUCACGGAAGUUUCAAUAACUUAGCAUAUUAACGCUUUUUAACAUGUCUUCAAAUGUGGCAUUAGGCGAAGAUUAACUAAAUCAUGUCGUAUUGUCCUCAAACGAUCUUUUACACUUAACAUGUCUUCAAAUGUGGCAUUAGGCAAUGAUUAACUAAAUCAUGCCGUAUUGUCCUCAAACGAUCUUUUACACUUAGAUCUUGAGGAGAAUGGCGCUUGUGAACUCAAACAUAAGUUCGUGCUGAAUUUCAGGUUUUCACGUAGCAUGACCAUGGGGUACUAGAAUAGUCGUAACUUCCGAGAGAGAGAGAGAGAGAGAGAGAGAGAGAGAGAGAUAUGUAGAAGACGGAAACGGAAGAGAGACUGAGAGAGAGGAGAGAUUGGGAAAAUAUAGGGUAUUAUGAUCAGGAAAAAUAAGUAUACUAAAUUUUGUUUGUGGGAAUAACACUCUAAAAAGUGAGUGUAUAGGCUUAUGAGAAUUUUUAAAUUUGAGUUUCUUAGUGAGAAUAAACUUCACAAAAUUAAGGCUAGUAAGAAUUUUCCCUUUAACCUAAAGCAUUGCAUGUUCCUAAAUAAUUUCAUGACCAAUUAUUCAAAAAAAAAUUCAUGUAAUGCAUACAAUCUCCAAAACUAAAAAAAACAAAUUCAAUACAUAAAAGUUAUAUAUUAGUGAAUGUAUCUUAAGCUAGAUAUUAAAUUAAAUUAUAACAAAAAAAAAAAGGGAGGGUAAUAAAAAAAGAAAACAAAAAAGUCAAAAGCGUAUAUAGUGUGGUCUAGUGGUUGGCUGCCUUGCUAACUAUUGGCAAAGUCACAGGUUCGAAACAGAGAGCAUGCAAAAUUUUGUUCCAUUAGAUAUGACUCAAGGGAAUGACUAAAUUGCUCUCAGACUAAACAACAACAUUAGUAUUUAACGGAGGUCUUAACGGUGAGGUAUGAAGUUGUUAACGGAAUGAAAGUUUAGACCUUGUUCGGUAUCGUUUCCUAAAAUGGUUUUCUGUUUUAUAAAUUCAAAAACACAGAUAAAACGUGUUCGGCAACAUAUUUGAAAAAUUGAAAUACGAUACGUGAAGUACAACUCUGAAUUCAUGUGUAAGUUUGGAAAACAUCAAUACGAUGUUUUCACCGUUUUUGAAGAAUGUAAGAUUUUGACAUUGGACAACAAAGAAAUUUUCAGCAGCUCUAGUCACGACACAAACACACAAACGACCUUAACCACACCUCCUCCUCUCUAUAUUCAUAUUGAUAUGCCUUUCAACUAUGGCUAUCAACUGAUAUCAUCCAUGAGAUUGAUUUUUUUGUUGGAAAUAGGAGAAAGUUCUUCUUACUGACUUACACACACAGAUGUUGGGUUGUAGCUUUAGGAUAUACACACUUAAUUUGAAAAUUUUCCUCACAAAUCUUCAUACCCAUUCAUGAUUCUUCAGCUUUUUUUUUUAUGUGUAUUCAUGUUCUUCGGUGAAAGUUUGAACUUUGAAGUUUUGAAGAUGAUAAGAAAAGCAAAUGUGCUUCUGCGGUGGAAAUUUUAUGAAAACAAUAAUUAAAGGAAUGAUAUAUCAACCAGCUACGGUGAACAAUUCUUAUAAUAUAGAAGAGAAGAUUGAUACUUUUUUUCAAGAUAGUUUUACUUUUUACUUCUUAUAAAACUCUUCUCGAGUUGUGCCAACAAACGUAUAUCCAAAUCUGAAAAAUACAAAAUUUAACUACUUAUUUUCAUUUUGUAAAACAAUUUUUAAAAAAUGAACUUGUAAAACAUUACAGGACAUGCCCUUAGUAGAAAAAUAGAAUUUGAUAGUUGGGUAAUUGAAAAGAGCCCUAUAGUUUGGGAGGAUCUUAUGUCGAAAGUUCUUGUAUGCACCAAGGUACAUAUGAACCAAUAGCUAUAAUUUAAUCUCAACCGUUCGUUUGAUCUAGUUUUAUAAAGACACUAACAUCAAUACUAACACCGUUAGGCAACACUAACAGCAAUAUUAACAUUGUUAAAACAGUAAGAAACUAAAAAAAAUAAUCAAACAUGGUAAAAACAAAAAAGAGGUGAAUAUUUUGCUAAUCAAAUUAAGGAAAGCGCUGGACUACGCCCAUGUGUCGUACGCCGGAGUGGGGCUGACCACGUGGCUACAUGUCGUCCACACAAUUCGAAUUUGAAGGACAUUUACGUAAAUUUUCCAUUUAACUUCCGUCAGCAGUAAAAAUACUCCUCAAACUUGUAACUUUGAAGACUCGUGUCAAAUACAAUGUCUCUCUCCCUCAGCGCGUCAAGGCUUCUAGCCGACGACAGAGUUGCAGUCCGAGGUCGGAGGUCGGCUCAUCGAGGAAGAUGAUGAGCGGGUCGACACGUGGCAUAGAAACUCAGUUCAUAUCGAUUCUGAUCGAGACGCCGUUGGAUCCGUGCUUAUGUAAUCUGUCUUUGAAAUCAGUUAAACCUGGGGUUGAAUCAAACUGUUGGAUUGAGGAGAUUGAGAUUGUAGACCAAUGGUCGUAUUUUUUGACAAUUAAGGAAUAAGCAGCAUUAGACUAGUUAACGAAACAAGUAAGCAGUGGGUUUAGAUGAACACAGGGAGCAAGAUCUGUUUAACAGAGAACAAGAUCGAGUUCGGAUUGGAUUGGAUAGUAUUACGAGACUAUUGAUGAAGAUGAAUCAAGAUUCAAAUGAGAGGAUCACAUCUUCGUCUCUGUCAUAGGCCACGUAAAAAUUGUGGUGGAUUUGCUGGGUCAAGCCAUGUUGCAAGUGGUCUUCCAUUCUUCCUUGUACAAGGUUCUUACUUUUUUUUUUUUUUUUAUUUUUUAAUAUUCUAGUAAGUAAUUAGUUGUUUGUUCAGUUGUUGUAGCCUAAUUGAAUUCUGCAGUUCGUUCUUCCAAGACCCAGAACUAUAAUCUGAAUUCAAUCCUAGAAAACGCAUUGAAUAUAUUGUGAUAACAAGCUAGGAUUCCUAUAUACUUUUCCAAGUCCCAAGUCCCUUUGAAUAUGUUGUUUAUCAUCACCUUCGGAUACUCUUGAGCAUACAGAGUUUUAGAGCUUCAAAACACCCUUCUUCAACCUCCAGACCUUCAUAUAUUGUUUUCAACCUCCAAACACCUUGUCUCUUAUCCUGGCUUCUAUCGAUCGAAGUCCCAAACACUAAAUCAUAUUUGCCCAAUUCAUUCCCAAUCAGAUUGAUCUAUUCAGGUCAUAUAUUUUGCUUGUUUGAUUCAUCUGCACAGGCGUUCAACAGUUUGAUAACACUACUCUAUCACUGUCAGGUCACUCAGGUGAGGGGGAUGACAGAAAUGCAAAUGACCAUAUCGCCCAUCAGUAAUUGUUUUUUCACCCAUCGUAACUCGUUUGUCGUUUGUAAAACAGUCAAUGAUCUUAUUACCCUUCCGGUAAUGUCCGCAUUAGGCGUGCGAUACGCAAGGAGUAGUCCAGCUUUUGCCUCAAAUUAAACCAAAGCUUCUAUUCAAGAAUCAAGUAUGUUGAGUCUGCCUCUCUCUCUUAUCAGCGUCGACACGGGGCGGUGGUGCAGCAUAUGCUGCGGCGGCGGUGGAGCAUGAUAACCUACUGAGCCUGCAGGUGGGACCCCAUAGGGCGGCGCGUGGUAUGGCUCCGGCUUUCAGAAGGCUGAAGAGGCAGAAGCUGAGGAAGGCGUUGAGAGGUUGUAUAUGGAAUGUGACGCCGAGCCCGCCGAGGAAUGAAGAUGACGAGUUCGAAUUGGAGGACAAGGCUGAGGAGAUUCCGGAGGGGUUUGGCGGAGAGGAUGAGGAUUCAGGCGAGAAAUUGAAGGAGAAAGCCAAGAGUGAAUCCGAGUCUGAGUCCGAAUCGGAAUCGGAAACGGAGGAUUUGUAAGGAGGGCGUUUGGGGUUUGGCGGACGUGGUGCAGAUAGGGGGGCUGUACUCCUUCCCUCUUUGGUUUGGGGUUGGGCUUGGAUCUUUGGGCCGGGCCUCAGCUUUGGGCUAAUGAGGAGGGUAUAGGAAUGAUGUGUAUUGGGCCUGGGCCUUUUGGGCUUAGAUUCUUCCUUGGUGUUUUUUUUUUCCAAUAUAUAUUACUUAAAAAUAAAUUAAAAGAGUAUUUAAUAUUACUAAAAGUAUAACCAAAUUUAAGGAAAAAAAAACUAAAUUUCACUUCAAAAACAGGGUUUGAUCAUUUGAAGCAACAAAGUAUAAGCGUCGCUAAAAAAAUAGAAGAGUACACAUCUAUUAUAUAAUAAUGUAUACUUUUUUUAAGAAGAGAAACAAGGUUGACUUCGUUUGAUCGGUGUCCAAAUGUUAUCAAAAAUAUGUGAUUUUUCUACCAUAAUCGUAUUUUAUUGUGCCUCUCACAUCCUACGGCCAAUUUUUCAAAAUUCUAUUUGAAAAAUAUAGUUGCUUCACAAAUAUGUAUAAUUGCAUCAAACAUAUUAAAUAAGUUAUAACACAGUAGUAUGCACGUUGGGGUCCCUAUGACUAAAAUUCACAAAAUUAAAUUUUGACCGUCUGAUAUGAUCGGUGUAAUUAAAUAUGGCUAUUGAAAAAAAUUCACCUAUUUUUGAUAACUAUUAGAUCUUGAUCCGCACGGUCAACCCUAAAUUAACGUUUUUUAUCACAUGAAAACGUUCUCACCUACCCCUUUUUGACAUAUUUUGGUUGAUUAUUCUGCACACACACUCUCACGUAGAUGAGAUGUAGAAGCCCAUGUAAGAAUUUGAAGAAGUUUGUCUUCCGACGAUAGGGCUCCCCAUAUGAGUGAAUAAACGUAAAUAAAGUUGACCACCUUGAUCGGGACCCAAACGUUAUAAAAAAUAUAUGAUUUUUCUACCAUAGCCGUACUUCACUAUACCUCUCACAUCCUACGGCCAAUUUUUCAAAAUUCUAUUUGAAAAAUAUAGUUGUUUCACAAAGAUGUACACUUGUAUUAAACCUAUUAAACAAAUUAUAGCACACCAAUGGACACAUUGGGGUUCCUAUGACUAAAAUUCACAAAAUUAAAUUUUGACUGUCUGAUGUGAUCAGUGUAAUUAAAUAUGGCUAUUGAAAAAAAUUCACCUAUUUUUAAUAACUAUUAGGUCUUGAUCCGCACGGUCAACCCUAAAUUAACGUCCCUUAUCACACGAAAACGUUCUCACCUACCCCCUUUUGACAUAUUUUGGCUGAUUAUUCCGCACACAAACUCUCACGUAGAUGAGAUGUAGCAAGCCAUGUAAAAAGUUGGGGAAGUUUACCCUUCUGACUAUAGGGCUCCCCAUAUGAGUAAAACCUAAAUAGAGUUGACUGCCUUGAUCGAAACUCAAACGUUAUCGAAAAUAUGUGAUUUUUCUACCAUAGGCGUUUUUCAUUAUACCUCUUAUAUCCUACGGCCGAUUUUUUAAAACUCUAUUUGCAAGAUAUAAUUGGUUCAUAAAGAUGUACUCUUACAUAAAACCUACUAAAUAAAUUACAUCACAAUAAUAGUCAAGUUGAGUUCUAAUGACUAAAAUUCAAAAAAUAAAAUUACCUUUAAAAAGAUUUCGAUCUCAUCAAUAAAAAUUAUAAAGAUUAUUGAGCUCUUAUAUAUAAAGAUUAUUAUUUUUUGUUUGAAAGAAAAAAAAAGAAGAAUAAUAUAGGGAAUAAAUAGAUAUAAGAAAAAAAAAACUUACUUCUCAAUUUUGGCUGAAAAUUCAAGUUUGCCGCUAAAGUUUCCUUCCCGCGCGACCUCAAAUGUCCUCCUGCCCUCUGGAGCCUCAACUCAAGCGCGCGCUGAAUGAUAGAAAACGCCGGCCCUGGCUCUGAAUCUCCCAUCCAUGGCUGCCCAACGCUCUGCCUCAACCAAACUGGAACCCCCAUCACUGUCUCGAUCUCUAUACAAUUAACAAUCCAUCGGCUCCAAUCCUCUCAAUUUGUCUUUGUAGAUUUGCCGUCAUUCCAGAUCAACUCGAACCCAAUCAACAUACCAUAGGUCGUCAUCUCAUCGCUACCCAAUUUUAUUGAAUAAGUAGUACGUGUUUUGAUUGUGUUAUGUGAUAUGGAAGUUUAAUUGUGUUAUGUGAGAUGUAUACUGGACAUGUAUGGGGAAUCAAUAGGACUUGGUGGGUUUAGUUAGAUUUGAGAAAUAUAUUGUGUAUGCGAUUCAUGCCAAAAAGGGUUACGAUUAUACCUAGAAGAUUUAGCUUGCAAGGAGGAUUAGGAACCUUAAUUUGUCUAAAACAACAAGAGCUUAGAAUGAGCAAGGACCUGUAUGCAUAUUUAGCAUCCAUAGAACUGAUUAUUAGGAACCUUAGACUUUGCUUGUGCUGCUGUAAUAUUUGAUCGGGAAACUUCUGUAACUUGAUCAUUUAGUUAGCUUUGAGCAACCAUAUCUUAUGAUUUAGACAUUUGUUUCCGAAUCUAUCUGCAUGUAUUGAAAGCUUAUACUUUAGGCUUGAUAUCUGUGUAGUUUCAUACAAUUUCAUUCAAAAUUCGUUGGUCAACUUACAGGCUGAAAGCGAAGUAUGCAUUCUGCAUAUCACCUUUUUGAGUUUUGGAGCCAGUCAACUUUUUACUAAACGCUGUACAUUUAGGUUGGUUAUUUGAAGUUGGUUUCUUCAUAAAACUUGUAGCAAACAUCCUAGAUAUUAUUCCAGAAUUUAAAUCACUUGAAAAAGAUUUUUGUAGAUUAAGUUAUGAUUUUUCAAAGUUAAGGGUCUGCAGUAGGAAAUUCUGCAGAUCAGUAUUUCUGAGUUUUUGACCCAGCUGCCUUUUUACUG